rnacentral:other from 1 species
AUGCCCCUGCGCUGAGCGAACAACCUUAUGUUGCCUGAGCCGAUGCGUGUUGAAUGGGAGCUUGACUACGUCAAUGGUGUGAAUCCUACUCGUUUAGGAUACCUAAAGUUGGUGUGCGGCGCCCCCCUCCUUUUAGAGGGUUCGACAACUUACCGUGAUUACGCCAGUGCGGGGGUACU